CCCGCACCAGCAGCGGACGGGAAGCAGCACAGCGCACGUGGCCCCGCGGGCCUCCUUCCCUGCCUCCCUCCUUCCUUCCCUGCCUCCCUCCCGCCGCCCCGCACUGAGGACUCGCUACCUGCGGGCGCUGACUGCUGCCCGUCCGGAGGCCCGGCGCCCACGAAGGCCCAGGCUUCCUUCUCGGUGGCGAACUUCUUGAAGCUGGCGGAAGGGAACCUGUUCACCUGCUGCUGGCACUCCGCCCAGGUGCGGUAGACACCCGUCUGCCGGCCCUUGCGCACCGCGUAGAACAUGCCGCCGCCCUUGGAGACAAAACAGGAGUGGCUGAGGAGCGCGACGAGCCACCGCAACAUAGCGCAGCCCCGCCGCCAUUCGCGCCCCUACCCCGCCCCGCGGCCCCUGCCCCGGGCAGGCUGCAC
rnacentral:lncRNA from 1 species